CCCCAGUCGAGCGAACUGAUUAGAAGCUUGCUUCUAUGACGUUAGCGGCGGACGGGUGAGUAACACGUGGGCAACCUGCCUGUAAGACUGGGAUAACUUCGGGAAACCGAAGCUAAUACCGGAUAGGAUCUUCUCCUUCAUGGGAGAUGAUUGAAAGAUGGUUUCGGCUAUCACUUACAGAUGGGCCCGCGGUGCAUUAGCUAGUUGGUGAGGUAACGGCUCACCAAGGCAACGAUGCAUAGCCGACCUGAGAGGGUGAUCGGCCACACUGGGACUGAGACACGGCCCAGACUCCUACGGGAGGCAGCAGUAGGGAAUCUUCCGCAAUGGACGAAAGUCUGACGGAGCAACGCCGCGUGAGUGAUGAAGGCUUUCGGGUCGUAAAACUCUGUUGUUAGGGAAGAACAAGUACAAGAGUAACUGCUUGUACCUUGACGGUACCUAACCAGAAAGCCACGGCUAACUACGUGCCAGCAGCCGCGGAAUACGAGGGC
rnacentral:rRNA from 1 species